CGUUUGUUUUAUUGUCCGAGAGAUAUUUGGAACCGAGCGUUAUUUACAUUCGUAAUCGAAUCGCCAACGAGCGUUUCCAUUAUUAUCCACUGCUGUUUUUCAGGACGAUUUUCUCGGAGGAUUUUUCUCGUGUACGUAUUUUCAAACGACGGACACUGACUUUGCAAAUGACAGCCGCCCCAUCAAAACACAACGACUUUGAUACGCUUAACGCGUUAAUAUCACGUGCGUGUACACCGACUGCAGAUUGCAAUAUACUGUUAUAAUAUGUCGCUGGAACACGUCUCCGGGCUUCGGUUUCGAAUCCAUACCGGAGGCGUAUCGUGAUAGGGAAGGGCGUUAUCAUCUAAUAGUGACCGGGCUAUACGAAAUCUAUUACCCUUUCCUACUAACUCCGACGGCGGCGUGUUACGGAGGUCGUGGUAGACAUUCUCUUUACCGAUCCAUUUUGAAAAGCCAAAGUCAAAUGAAAUAAUCAAAAAUCGAUAUUACGAGGCGUGGCGGUAAAACGGCAACCAUAACACGUUGUCGCGAACCCGAUCGCGUCGAGUAUUCAACUUACGUAUCGGUGACAAAUUGGCCGACCGCUGGAUCGCGAUUGAUAAACGAAAAGCACCCUUUAUGUGCAUUUUAAUCAGCUGUAUAAACCGGAAAAAAUCGGUUUCUGAGGCCGGGAGGAUAACCGACAAGUACCUAUUACCGUUUGAUACAACGUGCCCGAUA